ACCAGACUCCUACGGGAGGCAGCAGUGGGGAAUAUUGCACAAUGGGGGGAACCCUGAUGCAGCGACGCCGCGUGGGUGAAGAAGUAUUUCGGUAUGUAAAGCCCUAUCGGCAGGGAAGAAAUUGGACGGUACCUGACUAAGAAGCCCCGGCUAACUACGUGCCAGCAGCCGCGGUAAUACGUAGGGGGCAAGCGUUAUCCGGAUUCACUGGGUGUAAAGGGAGCGUAGACGGCCAUGCAAGCCUGGAGUGAAAGCCCGGGGCCCAACCCCGGGACUGCUCUGGGAACUGUGCGGCUGGAGUGCGGGAGGGGCAGGCGGAAUUCCUGGUGUAGCGGUGAAAUGCGUAGAUAUCAGGAGGAACACCGGCGGCGAAGGCGGCCUGCUGGACCGCGACUGACGUUGAGGCUCGAAAGCGUGGGGAGCAAACAGGAUUAGAUACCCGAGUACAU
rnacentral:rRNA from 1 species